AUUGAACGCUGGCGGCAUGCCUUACACAUGCAAGUCGAACGGCAGCGGACCUUCGGGUGCCGGCGAGUGGCGAACGGGUGAGUAAUGUAUCGGAACGUACCUUUCAGUGGGGGAUAACUAUCCGAAAGGAUAGCUAAUACCGCAUAUUCUGUGAGCAGGAAAGCAGGGGAUCGCAAGACCUUGCGCUGAUUGAGCGGCCGAUAUCAGAUUAGCUAGUUGGUGGGGUAAAAGCUCACCAAGGCGACGAUCUGUAGCGGGUCUGAGAGGAUGAUCCGCCACACUGGAACUGAGACACGGUCCAGACUCCUACGGGAGGCAGCAGUGGGGAAUUUUGGACAAUGGGCGCAAGCCUGAUCCAGCCAUGCCGCGUGAGUGAAGAAGGCCUUCGGGUUGUAAAGCUCUUUCGGCCGGGAAGAAAUCGCAUAGGUUAAUACCCUGUGUGGAUGACGGUACCGGAAUAAGAAGCACCGGCUAACUACGUGCCAGCCGCCGCCGUAACAC
rnacentral:rRNA from 1 species